UUACGACCACACCACGGUAAACCACGGGCCGCUGUAUGAUGACCGACGUUAAGCAAGAUCGAGCUUGGUUAGUACUUAGAUGGGUGACCGCUUGGGAAUAUCAGGUACUGUAA